rnacentral:ncRNA from 1 species
UUCUUCGGGGUUGGGUGAUCAGCAUAGCUGAGAUUCCCUACCGGCGGUUAUAGUCCGCGACCCGCUUCGGCGGCUGAUUUGGUGAAAUUCCAAAACCGACAGUAUAGUCUGGAUGAGAGAAGA